AAAGCUCUAGAGAUAGAGUGGAGGUUUAUCCGGGAUACAGGUGGUGCAUGGUUGUCGUCAGCUCGUGUCGUGAGAUGUUGGUUAAGUCCCGCAACGAGCGCAACCCUUGUCUUUAGUUACCAUCAUUCAGUUGGGGACUCUAGAGAGACUGCCGGUGAAUAAACCGGAGGAAGGUGGGGAUGACGUCAAAUCAUCAUGCCCCUUAUGGCCUGGGCUACAAACGUAAUACAAUGGCGUAUACAAAGGGAUGCGAAAGGGCGACCUGGAGCAAAACUCACAAAGUACGUCUCAGUUCAGAUUGGAGUCUGCAACUCGACUCCAUGAAGGCGGAAUCGCUAGUAAUCGCGGAUCAGCAUGCCGCGGUGAAUACGUUCUCGGGGUUU
rnacentral:rRNA from 1 species